GAUGAUGAGGAGGAGACCAUCUCUGUGGAUUCCAGAAGGCAUGAGGACCCAGAUGCUAUACAGUGGGAAAACCAGCCUGGCAACAUAAGCUCACAAGCUAUCAGAAAGUUGUAUGGCAACCACCUCCGGCGCCAAAUAGAACUGGCAGACAUAGACAUUCAGUACAAGAAGAAAAAGAUAGAAAAUCUUGCACUGGAGUCCGAAAUAAAAAAAGAGGACAAUUAGGAAACUGGACCUUGAAAUAAAAAAACUUGAGAGGGAGCUCCAAGAAGAUGACACAGCUCAAAAUAAAAAUUAGCAAUCAGUACAACCAAGUCAUCGUUAUAAGGCACCGGCCUCUUUUGCCCACCCCCCCAGCAGCAAUGUUGUGGCAAAAUGGCCUGGCUCAGUCCAUGACUCCAGAAUCUUUCGGGCCUCUGAAAUCUAUCAGUGCCUAUCACAAGGUGAAUUCUCUGGUGUGUUGCUGGGAGACAGGGGGUAUGGCUGCCAGCCUUUUCUCCUGACACCUUUCACAGACCCCCAGGAAGCACAGCAGGCCUACAACCAUGCCCAUGCCAGGACCAGGGCCAGAGUUGAAAUGACCUUUGGCCUCCUGAAGGCACGCUUUCACUGCCUUCACAAAUUAAGGGUCAACCCUGUUAGGGCAUGUGAUAUUACUGUGGCUUGUGCUGUCCUCCACAAUGUGGCCUGCCUGAGGAAGGAGAGGGCCCCCAGAGUGCCACCAGCCAUGGACUGGGACAAUCCGGCAAUCUUCCCUGAUGACGACAGUGGUCGGCUGCUGAGGGACCAAUAUGUGUUGAAUUAUUUUAGUUAGUAUGUGUGCUUUCAAUUUAGGUAAAAAAUGUCCUGCUGUGGCAGAGGAAAUAGGGUUUUUUUGGGUUGUUUUUUUUUUUACGAAUUUGGCCUCUUAUGAUGUUUGUGCGGUAUACUGUGUGUAAUACAAGGCUGCAGGGAGGCUACUGCAUCCAUUCAUUUGUCUGUUCAGUUGAUGUGUAUGGAUUUGUCCUGCAUUUAUUUUAGUGUGCAGACAUGCAGCGUGUGUUAUAUACAGACCUUUGAAUGUGUAUGUAUCAUUUUGUAUAAUAUGCUUUGAUUCUGUGCUUUCCAUCUUGUAGAGUCACUGUGACUUCAGUUUCGAAAGGAGC